GCCGAGGUGGUGGAACCGGCAGACACGCGGUCUUGAGGGGGCCGUGAGCGCAAGCUCGUAGGAGUUCAAAUCUCCUCCUCGGCACCA
rnacentral:tRNA from 1 species